UACGGAGGGUGCAAGCGUUAAUCGGAAUUACUGGGCGUAAAGCGCACGCAGGUGGCUGAGUCAGUCGAUUGUGAAAGCCCUGGGCUUAACCUGGGAAUUGCAGUCGAUACUACUCAGCUAGAGUAUGGGAGAGGGCAGUGGAAUUCCCGGUGUAGCGGUGAAAUGCGUAGAUAUCGGGAGGAACAUCAGUGGCGAAGGCGACUUACUGGACACAUAUUGACGCUGAGGUGCGAAAGCGUGGGGAGCAAACAGG
rnacentral:rRNA from 1 species